GGCAUUAUAGUGUAGCGGUAAAAGCGAGAGACUUACAUGCGGUAGCUUGCAGGACCUGGGUUCGAAUCCCAGGUGUGACA